CUCCUUCUAGGUGACAGCACCAGGAAUAUUUUUGGAAGCAUGUGAUGAGUUGUGCAAUGAAAAGAGAUCCCUUCGUGAUAUGUCUCCAGGACACAUUAUCUGUGAAGACAGGAAGUGGGGCGUCUACUUCCUGCUGAGGCAUCCAAUGGCAACACUCCAGACAACAUCAGAAUCAUUCAGCGGUGUCCCCAGGCCCACAAAUCCCUGUAUGCAAUGGAGAGACACAUACGUGGGGUUGAGGAGCAGAAAGCAAUGAAGUCCUUCUCCACGUGGACCUUGUGAAUGGCAUCACUCUGGAGCAUCAGAGGUUGAUGUGUCCAGCUGUCUGUCGAGGCUUUUGGAGAGUCGCUGACCCACAGUUCCCCAGGAUUUUCUAUGGAGACAUCAAUUUUCUAUACACUGUAUCUCUCAGUAUGACUAGUAGAAUUGCCCCCUUCUUUGUUUUUAAGAAUUUAUUCUCACCAGUUUCACACACACACACACACACACACACACACACACAGCACUCUGCCUUUCUCUGGGGUCCCUACAGCCAUGUGUUGAUUAACAAUGAUAACAUCAUAAAACAAGAAGAAGCCAUUUGCUAGGAAGAGCAUAGAAGUUAAAGGCUUAUUAGCUUCAUCUCAGGGAGCACACUUAAAUUUUUUAGCUAAAUUGUUUUUGUUUCCUUCUCCCCCAAACAUUGCUCCAACAAAGCUCAAGGACAAUUGAAAGUCAGGAUAAAAGAAUUGUUUUUGACUGCCAUCCCAAGUUCCCUCACUUUCCUACUCAUUUCCCAUUCAACAUGCCUGAGAGAAAAGCAUGGUGCUCUUACAUAAUAUGCUCACUUUCAAAGAAAAUUAUUCUCAAGCCAGAGAUUGUCAAAAUGACUGUAAAGCAUGAAUAAGGAAAACCAUCAUUAAAGUCAUUUUGCUCUAAGA